rnacentral:tRNA from 1 species
GAAUUGUGGCUCAGUGGUAGAGCGCUUGCCUAGCAUGCAUGAGACACUGGGUUCGAUCCCUGGCACCA